rnacentral:rRNA from 1 species
ACGGAGGAUCCGAGCGUUAUCCGGAUUUAUUGGGUUUAAAGGGAGCGUAGAUGGAUGUUUAAGUCAGUUGUGAAAGUUUGCAGCUCAACCGUAAAAUUGCAGUUGAUACUGGAUAUCUUGAGUGCAGUUGAGGCAGGCGGAAUUCGUGGUGUAGCGGUGAAAUGCUUAGAUAUCACGAAGAACUCCGAUUGCGAAGGCAGCCUGCUAAGCUGCAACUGACAUUGAGGCUCGAAAGUGUGGGUAUCAAACAG